UCGGCUUUUGCGGCAUGAUGAUGACGACUCUUGGUGUGGCACAGACAGCGAACCACAAAAAGGUGUUGGUUGUGAUGGUGGACCCUCUUCUGUGCAAGUGUGUGGCAUGUGCGGUGUGCUCUUUGACUCGCUCGUACCAAAAGGCGUUCGCAUAGUGAAUGAUGACGGUACAGGAACCAAGGCUCCGAUAACUGAA
rnacentral:ribozyme from 1 species